AUUGAACGCUGGCGGCAGGCCUAACACAUGCCAGUCGAGCGGAUGAAGGGAGCUUGCUCCUGGAUUCAGCGGCGGACGGGUGAGUAAUGCCUAGGAAUCUGCCUGGUAGUGGGGGAUAACGUCCGGAAACGGGCGCUAAUACCGCAUACGUCCUGAGGGAGAAAGUGGGGGAUCUUCGGACCUCACGCUAUCAGAUGAGCCUAGGUCGGAUUGGCUAGUUGGUGGGGUAAAGGCCUACCAAGGCGACGAUCCGUAACUGGUCUGAGAGGAUGAUCAGUCACACUAGAACUGAGACACGGUCCAGACUCCUACGGGAGGCAGCAGUGGGGAAUAUUGGACAAUGGGCGAAAGCAUGAUCCAGCCAUGCCGCGUGUGUGAAGAAGGUCUUCGGAUUGUAAAGCACUUUAAGUUGGGAGGAAGGGCAGUAAGUUAAUACCUUGCUGUUUUGACGUUACCAACAGAAUAAGCACCGGCUAACUUCGUG
rnacentral:rRNA from 1 species